UGUAAGAUAGAUAAAAAAAGUACAAGGUUUCCGUAGGUGAACCUGCGGAAGGAUCAUUA
rnacentral:rRNA from 1 species